rnacentral:misc_RNA from 1 species
GAGAGAGAGAGAGAGAGGAGCAAAACAAGAUACUUAAGUUCCAACUUUCCUAGCUUGACAUUCCUACUUAUUGAAGCUAUAAACCCUACAAUAAAGUACUAGUGAUCUCUGAUGGCUUAAACUCGUAUGCUAUUGUUUUUAUUGGUAACUACAAUGCAAACAUACUAGGUCACUGAGGUCAAGGGGCUUGGUUAUUAUAGAGACAAGUUGAUGCACAGCCACCUAAAGAAAUUAUGUGUAAUGGUUGCAAUCACAUACCUAUUCAUUGAAAUUGAGUUGAAACCAAUAAAAAAAAUGAUAAUUUAAUUGAAACCAUUCAUAUAUGGAUACAAGCUGAAAGAAUACUAGUGCUAUUCGGCAAUUAUUUUUCAGAGAUCCAUAAAUCAAUCCUUUGAACCAAAAAGGGGGGGAAACUAGCAAAUCUCUUAUUCUAGCGUUCUUACAAUACUACAUUGGCUAUUAGGGCUUGCUCUUUGAUAAUAGUAUAGCAUAAUUGUGCCAGAAAUAGAUAGUUAUAGAUAUUUAGGCGUAUGUUAAAAGUAUGAUGUUUAAUAUUUCAGGUUCAACUUUUGGAUUCUAACUAACAUAGCCAGUAGACUAAACUUCUGUUUUAUACGAGAAAUAUUUCAAUAAUCAAUUUCAUGGGAUGAAUAAAGCCACAUAGUCUCUUGAUAUCGGAUACAACUAUUUAUAAAGGGUUUAAAGUAUAAAAUAGAAACAUAAACCAGUCCAUUACUCAAAAUGAAAUUGGCAAGUCUUCAAAUGACAAUUUUCCCUAAUUUUGUUAAAUAAUUUCCUUAUCAAUAGAGAAAAUAUAAAACAAUAAAUGAAAAAAAAUAGAGACAAUGCAGAAGAAUUUGUCUCCAACGAAAGGGGGAAAAUAAUAGUAGGCUUAGGUAAUCCCCAUAGGACUACCAAUUUCUGAUACCAAAUUGGCACGUACUGACAUACAACAGUAAGAUUCUAUUUCAAAGCAUCUUUGACAAACAAACAUAAACAAGAACAAUUAAUACCUAGAAUCAACAGUUCAAAUUGAAUGAUUUGUGUGCUCUACACUUGGAAAAAAGAAAUCCUAGUUGAACAAUGUAAUGCCAAGAGAAAAUUCAGGUUUGAUCUUGGAUAUAGCAAAGUUUUUAAAGGCCAAGGGGCGGAGGAGAUGGUAAAUCCAGAAAGAAUUAGCUCUCUAAUGAAUUGCAUUCGGAAGGGAGAGGUCUCCAAGCAAUUUUAGUAAUAUGGCAACAAUAAGUCACAUGCUGGACAAAAUCCAGCAAGAGAAUGACAUAUCAACUCAUAAGAUCCUGUUACAACUUACAACAAGAUCAAACUAAUGACUUCAGCAUAUGCAUUUAUUCAGUAAACUGUAAACAAAAUCUAACAAAGGGAAAUACCUUUGAAAUGCACAUAAAAUAUCU